rnacentral:tRNA from 1 species
ACUUCUGUAGUAUAUUAUUAGUACGUCUAAUUUCCACUUAGAAAGGGUUUCGGGAGUC